rnacentral:lncRNA from 1 species
UUCUGGAGGGCGUCACCAUCCCUGGUGAUGCACGGCUGGCUCUGCUGUUCACUCCUCGGGGAAGAUGCGGUUUGGGAAGUGCUCAUCGAUUGAUGGCUUAGACUGGGGGACACCACAAAACAGCAGCAGAGGAGGCCAGGGAACCUGGCAGAAUUCCGUGGGCAGCCUCCACCAAGCACAAAAGCAAUCCUUCACAAUACUCAGGGAGAACAGGCAGACAAACCAGCAGAUGUCUGUGUGCAGAUGGACAUUGCCCACCACACCUUCUUACCUCUUCCUUCUCUGA